UACGUAGGCAGCGAGCGUUGUUCGGAGUUACUGGGCGUAAAGAGUGCGUAGGCGGUUUUCUAAGUUUGGUGUGAAAUCUCCCGGCUUAACUGGGAGGGUACGCCGAAAACUGGAAGGCUUGAGUAUGGGAGAGGUAAGCGGAAUUCCUGGUGUAGCGGUGAAAUGCGUAGAUAUCAGGAGGAACACCUGCGGUGUAGACGGCUUACUGGACCAUAACUGACGCUGAGGCACGAAAGCGUGGGUAGCAAACAGG
rnacentral:rRNA from 1 species